rnacentral:rRNA from 1 species
AGCAGCCGCGGUAAUUCCAGCUCCAAUAGCGUAUAUUAAAGUUGUUGCAGUUAAAAAGCUCGUAGUUGAAUUUCGAGAUCAAUUUGUCGGUCGUGCCUCGGUACGUACUGGCAUUAUUGAUUUCUCCCUUCUGAAGAACCGCGAUGUCAUUAAUUUGGUGUCGUGGGGAAUCAGGACUGUUACUUUGAAAAAAUUAGAGUGUUUAAAGCAAGCUAACGCUUGAAUACAUUAGCAUGGAAUAAUGAAAUAGGACGUUCGAUCCUAUUUUGUUGGUUUCUAGGAUUGACGUAAUGAUUAAUAGGGAUAGUUGGGGGCAUUAGUAUUCAAUUGUCAGAGGUGAAAUUCUUGGAUUUAUUGAAGACUAACUACUGCGAAAGCAUUUGCCAAGGAUGUUUUCAUUAAUCAA